rnacentral:rRNA from 1 species
AUACGUAGGGGGCGAGCGUUGUCCGGAAUGAUUGGGCGUAAAGGGCGCGUAGGCGGCCCGGUAAGUCUGGAGUGAAAGUCCUGUUUUUAAGAUGGGAAUUGCUUUGGAUACUGUCGGGCUUGAGUGCAGGAGAGGUAAGUGGAAUUCCCAGUGUAGCGGUGAAAUGCGUAGAGAUUGGGAGGAACACCAGUGGCGAAGGCGACUUUCUGGACUGUAACUGACGCUGAGGCGCGAAAGUGUGGGGAGCAAACAGGAUUAGAUACCCUGGUAGUCCACACUGUAAACGAUGAAUGCUAGGUGUAGGGGGUAUCGACCCCUUCUGUGCCGCAGUCAACACAAUAAGCAUUCCGCCUGGGGAGUACGGCCGCAAGGUUGAAACUCAAAUGAAUUGACGGG